AGUCAGGAAAUGGUAUCCGGUUUUGCCGGAUAGAUUGAAAAGGGAAUGCAGUGAGAUGCUGCAGCAGCCCCCGCUACUGUAAGAAGGAUGACUCUUUUAAUGAGGCUGACAUAACGAUGAUAACAAAUGAUCGGACAUAUUCGUCAGAUCAGCUUCAAACCACUGUACUGUAUCAGGCGGUAUGGGAAGGAAAAGAGGAAGAUGAUUUCGAGCCAGGAGACCUGCUGGACAGAGACAAAGAUAA
rnacentral:ncRNA from 18 species